rnacentral:lncRNA from 1 species
CUCAGGUUUGGUUCCUUGGGGCGCAUCAGAGUGCCACGUCUGACAACAGAUUUAUCAUCAUUCAAAGGUGAUCUCUAUCUCCUGGAUCUGGUAAAGGUAAGCUCAACAAACUAGACCAAGGUAUUGCUAGGACUGCAAAGCAUCAGGAU